GGUUAUGCUAAUAAGAGCGUAUGGUGGAUGCCUUGGCACUAAGAGCCGAUGAAAGACGUGAUAAGCUGCGAAAAGCUUCGGGGAGGAGCAAAUAUCCAUUGAUCCGGAGAUUUCUGAAUGGGGAAACCUACUUGAGAAGACCUCAAGUAUCCACAGCCCAAUCCAUAAGCUGUGGAAGGGAACCCGGUGAACUGAAACAUCUAAGUAGCCGGAGGAAGAGAAAACAACAUGUGAUUCCGUAAGUAGCGGCGAGCGAACGCGGAAGAGCCCAAACCGGAGUGCGUGCACUCCGGGGUUCGGACUGCAGGAUUGACGAGUGAGCCUAGUAGAAUGGUUUUGGGAAAGCCAGCCAGAGAGGGUGAAAGCCCCGUACACGAAAGGCAAGCGAGCAUGGCAGGAUCCAGAGUACCACGAGACACGUGAAACCUUGUGGGAAUGAGCGGGGACCACCCCGUAAGGCUAAAUACUCCUUAGUGACCGAUAGCGCAUAGUACUGUGAAGGAAAGGUGAAAAGGACCCCGGGAGGGGAGUGAAAGAGAACCUGAAACCAUAUGUUUACAAGCUGUGGAACAUCUUUAUAUGAUGAACCGCGUACUUUUUGUAGAACGGUCCGGCGAGUUACGCUGGCUGGCGAGGUUAAGGGCUGAAGGCCUGGAGCCGAAGGGAAACCGAGUCUGAACAGGGCGAAAUAGUCAGUCGGAGUAGACCCGAAACCGGGUGAUCUAUCCAUGUCCAGGUUGAAGUUGCCGUAAAAGGCAAUGGAGGACCGAACCCACAUCCGUUGAAAAGGGUGGGGAUGAGGUGUGGAUAGGGGAGAAAUUCCAAUCGAACCCGGAGAUAGCUGGUUCUCCUCGAAAUAGCUUUAGGGCUAGCCUCAUGCAAGUCUUACGGAGGUAGAGCACUGAAUUCCUAAGGGGGCGUCAAAGCUUACCAAGGGAUAUCAAACUCCGAAUGCCGUGUAGAUGGUGCAUGGGAGUCAGACUAUCCGAGAUAAGUUGGGUAGUCAAAAGGGAAAGAGCCCAGACCUACAGCUAAGGUCCCAAAAUGUGUGUUAAGUGGAAAAGGAUGUGGGAUUUCGAAGACAACUAGGAUGUUGGCUUAGAAGCAGCCAUCCAUUAAAAGAGUGCGUAAUAGCUCACUAGUCGAGAGGUCCUGCGCCGAAAAUGUCCGGGGCUGAAACACACUACCGAAGCUUAGGAAUUGACGAAUGUUAAUUGGUAGAGGAGCAUUCUUAACGGGGCGAAGCUGUACCGGAAGGAGCAGUGGACUGUUAAGAAGAGAGAAUGCCGGAAUGAGUAGCGAGAGGAAGGUGAGAAUCCUUCCGGCCGAAUAUCUAAGGUUUCCAGAGUAAAGCUGAUCUGCUCUGGGUAAGUCGGGGCCUAAGGCGAGGUCGAAAGACGUAGUCGAUGGAUAACAGGUAAAGAUUCCUGUACUAUAUCAUAACAGAACUGUGGGGACGCAGACAGAGAGCAUAAGCCGGGAAUGGAAAAACCGGUACAAGCGAGGUAGGAGUGCAUCAGGCAAAUCCGGUGCACAAUCUGAAGACGUGAUGUGGGGCGUAAAGCCGGAAGUAUGUGAGCUGGCUGCCAAGAAAAGCCGCUAUUGUUUAUGAUAUACCCGUACCGUAAACCGACACAGGUGGAUGAGGAGAGAAUCCUAAGGCCGACGG
rnacentral:rRNA from 1 species